GUUUCUGAUAUUGUGCUACAGUUUGCUCAGUGAAAAACUAGCUGUCAAUUACUGUCCCCACAGGCCCCAACAUACCAGUGGAACUGCAUAAAUAUACUGUGUGGUUGGAGACUUCAGUCUGACUAGGCCGUAUUCCUAGAAGAGUUUCUGCCCUGAAGUGAAAGAUUAACACUGUAGGAUGCACAAAACAAGCAUGUAGCUGGAAGACUGGUCAGCUACUACUGCCAACUUUGGUGAGUUGCCUUUUAUUUCUGACCUGGAAUCAAUUACAGGGCUGCAUGCAUUUGGUUGGCAGAGAUGA
rnacentral:lncRNA from 1 species